rnacentral:lncRNA from 1 species
GUGCCCUCAAACGCUUCGUUGCCACGUGUGGGAUUCCCCGAUGUAUUUGGUCGGACAAUCCCAAAAACUUUGUGGGUGAGUUAGAGGACCUUUGGCACUUGAUUUUGAGCGAGAAGCAUCAAGAUAAGUAGUAGCUAUUAUAUGGGCAUGUAACUAUAGGACACUGUUAGGCAUACGCACAGACAAAAUAAAUGAAAAGGAAAGUAAACGACCAGUCAAGGUGCUAGGAGGACCUUUCACAGAAAAAACCAUUAGCACCAUUAAAACCUAGUUGUUUGAUGAUUGCUGUCCAGGAUAAUUGAUCCUGGAUUUUUUGACAAAGUUAGUUCACAUCUUGACCGCUAGAAGGCGCCACAAAAGUAGUAAGGAUUUGGGGACUUGGUUUGGACUCGCCACCAAGUAGCAUUCUAUAUAGGUAUGCAGUAUAUUUACUAUAAGUCGAAUUGAUUAAUUGUUUUCUCAUCCUUUAUGACUCCAUUCUUUAUAUUUUUUUUUCA